rnacentral:rRNA from 1 species
GUAUUCUAAAAUUUAAUAGAAUUUAGGUUCACGAAACUAGUCGAGUUAAGUUUAUUAUAAUAUUAGUGAUCUAAAGUAACGUAGUAAUGUUAUUUUAUUAAAUAAACUUAGGGGUGAUAGGCCUUUCAAGUCUGGUGAUAUCUUGAUAUUUAGGAAAUAUAUAUAGUAUAAAAUUCAAUAUAAAAAUGGUGAGGUUUUUAUAUAUCAUAAUAAUAGUUUAAUAAUGUUUGGUUGUAGUAAAAUACCCUAAUUGCAUUAGGUUAAUAUUUAAUACUUUAAGAAUAUGAAAUUUACUAGAUUAUUUACAUUAAUGAAAAUUUAUAUUAAAAAUGACUACAUUAGUAUUCUCUUAUAUAUUAUUAAGGAACUCGGCAACUAUAAUUCUCGACUGUUUAUCAAAAACAUAGCUUUAAGUAUAUAUUUAAAGUUCAACCUGCUCAAUGAUUUUUAAAUAGCCGCAGUACCUUGACUGUGCAAAGGUAGCAUAAUCAAUUGGCUUAUAAUUGAAGUCUAGUAUGAAUGGGAAUCCGGGAAUUAGCUGUCUUAAAUAUAUAUCUAGAAUUUACUAAAUAAGUGAAAAUUCUUAUAUUUCGAAAAAAGACGAGAAGACCCUAGAAAUUUUAUUAAUUUUAAUAUAUAAAUUUUGUUGGGGCGACAAAGUAACAAUUAACUUACUUUAAUAAUAGGGAACUAUUUAGUAGUAAAACUAAAUUACUCUAGGGAUAACAGCAUAAUAUUUUAAAGUUUGUGACCUCGAUGUUGGACUAGGGAAUAUAAUACCUAAAAGGUAUUAUUUUAGGCUCUGUUCGAGCUAUUUUCUCCUACAUGAUCUGAGUUCAGACCGG